rnacentral:rRNA from 1 species
UACGAAGGGGGGCUAGCGUUGCUCGGAAUGACUGGGCGUAAAGCGUGCGCAGGCGGUUUUGUAAGUCAGAUGUGAAAUCCCCCGGGCUUAACCUGGGAACUGCGUUUGAAACUACAAGGCUAGAGUGUGACAGAGGGGGGGUGGAAUUCCACGUGUAGCAGUGAAAUGCGUAGAGAUGUGGAGGAACACCGAUGGCGAAGGCAGCCCCCUGGGUUAACACUGACGCUGAGGAGCGAAAGCGUGGGUAGCAAACAGG